rnacentral:rRNA from 1 species
CCUGAAACCGCAUGCAUACAAGCAGUGGGAGCACCUUCGUGGUGUGACUGCGUACCUUUUGUAUAAUGGGUCAGCGACUUAUAUUCAGUAGCGAGGUUAACCGAAUAGGGGAGCCGUAGAGAAAUCGAGUCUUAAUAGGGCGUAUAGUUGCUGGGUAUAGACCCGAAACCAGGCGAUCUAUCCAUGAGCAGGUUGAAGGUUGGGUAACACUAACUGGAGGCCGAACCCACUGUCGUUGAAAAGCCAGGGGAUGACUUGUGGAUAGGGGUGAAAGGCUAAUCAAGCCUGGUGAUAGCUGGUUCUCCCCGAAAGCUAUUUAGGUAGCGCCUCGGACGAAUACCAUUGGGGGUAGAGCACUGUUUCGGCUAGGGGGUCAUCCCGACUUACCAACCGAUGCAAACUCCGAAUACCAAUGAGUACUAUCCGGGAGACAGACUGCGGGUGCUAACGUCCGUAGUCAAGAGGAAAACAAUCCAGACCGCCAGCUAAGGCCCCAAAAUCAUAGUUAAGUGGGAAACGAUGUGGGAAGGCAUAGACAGCUAGGAGGUUGGCUUAGAAGCAGCCACCCUUUAAAGAAAGCGUAAUAGCUCACUAGUCGAGUCGGCCUGCGCGGAAGAUGUAACGGGGCUAAAACUAUGUGCCGAAGCUGCGGAUUUGACAUUAGUCAAGUGGUAGGGGAGCGUUCUGUAAGCCGAUGAAGGUGUAUUGAGAAGUAUGCUGGAGGUAUCAGAAGUGCGAAUGCUGACGUGAGUAACGACAAAACGGGUGAAAAACCCGUUCGCUGAAAGACCAAGGGUUCCAGUCCAACGUUAAUCGGGGCUGGGUGAGUCGACCCCUAAGGCGAGGCCGAGAGGCGUAGUCGAUGGGAAAUUGGUUAAUAUUCCAAUACUUCUGUGUAAUGCGAUGAGAGGACGGAGAAGGUUAAGUCAGCCUGGCGUUGGUUGUCCAGGUGGAAGACAGUAGGCAUGCAUCUUAGGCAAAUCCGGGGUGCUCUAUGCUGAGAGUCGAUAGCAAGCUGUACUUGUACAGUGAAGUGGCUGAUACCAUGCUUCCAGGAAAAGUCUCUAAGCUUCAGUUACACAGGAAUCGUACCCGAAACCGACACAGGUGGUCAGGUCGAGUAGACCAAAGCGCUUGAGAGAACUCUGCUGAAGGAACUAGGCAAAAUGGUACCGUAACUUCGGGAGAAGGUACGCUGCUGACGGUGAUGGGACUUGCUCCCUGAGCUAUUGGCAGCCACAGAAACCAGGCCGCUGCAACUGUUUAUUAAAAACAUAGCACUCUGCAAACACGAAAGUGGACGUAUAGGGUGUGAUGCCUGCCCGGUGCUGGAAGGUUAAUUGAUGGGGUUAGCGUAAGCGAAGCUCUUGAUCGAAGCCCCAGUAAACGGCGGCCGUAACUAUAACGGUCCUAAGGUAGCGAAAUUCCUUGUCGGGUAAGUUCCGACCUGCACGAAUGGCAUAAUGAUGGCGGCGCUGUCUCCAGCAGAGGCUCAGUGAAAUCGAAAUCGCUGUGAAGAUGCAGUGUACCCGCGGCUAGACGGAAAGACCCCGUGAACCUUUACUGCAGCUUGACAUUGAACUUUGACCUUACUUGUGUAGGAUAGGUGGGAGGCUUUGAAGUUGGAACGCUAGUUCCAAUGGAGCCGUCCUUGAAAUACCACCCUGGUAAUGUUGAGGUUCUAACUCUGUCCCGUUAUCCGGGACGAGGACCAUGUCUGGUGGGUAGUUUGACUGGGGCGGUCUCCUCCUAAAGAGUAACGGAGGAGUACGAAGGUGCGCUCAGCGUGGUCGGAAAUCACGCGUAGAGUAUAAAGGCAAAAGCGCGCUUAACUGCGAGACCCACAAGUCGAGCAGGUACGAAAGUAGGUCUUAGUGAUCCGGUGGUUCUGUAUGGAAGGGCCAUCGCUCAACGGAUAAAAGGUACUCUGGGGAUAACAGGCUGAUACCGCCCAAGAGUUCAUAUCGACGGCGGUGUUUGGCACCUCGAUGUCGGCUCAUCUCAUCCUGGGGCUGAAGCAGGUCCCAAGGGUAUGGCUGUUCGCCAUUUAAAGAGGUACGCGAGCUGGGUUUAGAACGUCGUGAGACAGUUCGGUCCCUAUCUACCGUGGGCGCUGGAAAUUUGAGAGGAUCUGCUCCUAGUACGAGAGGACCAGAGUGGACGAACCUCUGGUGUACCGGUUGUGACGCCAGUCGCAUCGCCGGGUAGCUAUGUUCGGAAGGGAUAACCGCUGAAAGCAUCUAAGCGGGAAGCCUACCUCAAGAUAAGAUUUCCCUAGGAAUUUAUUCCUCUAAAGAGCCGUUCGAGACUAGGACGUUGAUAGGUUGGGUGUGGAAGCACGGUGACGUGUGAAGCUGACCAAUACUAAUUGCUCGUGAGGCUUGACUAU